CAGGAUUAGAUACCCUGGUAGUCCACGCCGUAAACGAUGUCGACUUGGAGGCUGUUUCCUUGAGAAGUGGCUUCCGGAGCUAACGCGUUAAGUCGACCGCCUGGGGAGUACGGCCGCAAGGUUAAAACUCAAAUGAAUUGACGGGGGCCCGCACAAGCGGUGGAGCAUGUGGUUUAAUUCGAUGCAACGCGAAGAACCUUACCUACUCUUGGCAUCCACGGAAUUUGGCAGAGAUGCCUUAGUGCCUUCGGGAACCGUGAGACAGGUGCUGCAUGGCUGUCGUCAGCUCGUGUUGUGAAAUGUUGGGUUAAGUCCCGCAACGAGCGCAACCCUUAUCCUUUGUUGCCAGCGAUUCGGUCGGGAACUCAAAGGAGACUGCCGGUGAUAAACCGGAGGAAGGUGGGGAUGACGUCAAGUCAUCAUGGCCCUUACGAGUAGGGCUACACACGUGCUACAAUGGCGCAUACAAAGAGAAGCGACCUCGCGAGAGCAAGCGGACCUCAUAAAGUGCGUCGUAGUCCGGAUCGGAGUCUGCAACUCGACUCCGUGAAGUCGGAAUCGCUAGUAAUCGUGGAUCAGAAUGCCACGGUGAAUACGUUCCCGGGCCUUGUACACACCGCCCGUCACACCAUGGGAGUGGGUUGCAAAAGAAGUAGGUAGCUUAACCUUCGGGAGGGCGCUUACCACUUUGUGAUUCAUGACUGGGGUGAAGUCGUAACAAGGUAC
rnacentral:rRNA from 1 species